UGGGGAAUUUUGGACAAUGGGCGCAAGCCUGAUCCAGCAAUGCCGCGUGCAGGAUGAAGGCCUUCGGGUUGUAAACCGCUUUUGUACGGAACGAAAAGCCUCUCUCUAAUACAGGGGGGUGAUGACGGUACCGUAAGAAUAGGCACCGGCUAACUACGUGCCAGCAGCCGCGGUAAUACGUAGGGUGCAAGCGUUAAUCGGAAUUACUGGGCGUAAAGCGUGCGCAGGCGGUUUUGUAAGACAGUGGCGAAAUCCCCGGGCUCAACCUGGGAACUGCCAUUGUGACCGCAAGGCUGGAGUGCGGCAGAGGGGGGAUGGAAUUCCGCGUGUAGCAGUGAAAUGCGUAGAUAUGCGGAGGAACACCGAUGGCGAAGGCAAUCCCCUGGGCCUGNACUGACGCUCAUGCACGAAAGCGUGGGGAGCAAACAGGAUUAGAUACCCUGGUAGUCCACGCCCUAAACGAUGUCAACUGGUUGUUGGGGAUUUAUUUUUUCCAGUAACGAAGCUAACGCGUGAAGUUGACCGCCUGGGGGAGUACGGCCGCAAGGUUAAAAACUC
rnacentral:rRNA from 1 species